rnacentral:sRNA from 1 species
UGCACCGGCCUCGUUGAUUCUCGUAGGU